rnacentral:ribozyme from 1 species
CGUCGUUGUAUCGUUUUUGUCCUUAUCGUCGUCGUCGUCGUCGUCGUCUAUGCCUAAUUCCAUCAUCCGGAACUUUUGUUCCUCUCGAUGACUCGGCAUUGUUCUCCGAUGAUGAUGAUAAUGAUGAUUAAACGACGAGCGCUGUUCUCU